UUUAAGAUCUCCUGAGAUGACCCGUUUAAAUGCACGGUCUGCCAGCGGGAGGUAGGGCUGAACGACCAGGGGAAUUCUCAGAGACCUUCUAAAAUCUGCUUAAUGGGAGAGAGGAGGCAAAACUUUGGGGCUUUCUCCGUGUUCAACACGCACACGUCUUUUGGUUCCGUCAGUGCCCAAAGCCCUGACCGUCUGCAGAAAGCAGCUCCCUGCAAUCCUUACUGUCUUCUGAGGAAUGCCAACUAUUCGGUGGGGACCGAGCUCAGAAACACGGCUUUGCAGGAAGGUGGGAUUUCGGGAAGGAUUCACGGCUGUUAUUAUUGACGAAAUGGAGCUUUACGACUCCGCACCAAUUGAUGGCGACGAAUUUCGGCUAACGCAUCCUCCCAAGACCUGCUGACGGCUUUAGCGCUCGCCCUUUUCGUCCUUGCUACAGAAAAACGGACAUUCCCAGUUAAAAAAAAAAAAAAAAUCGCUA